GUGCUGUCUUUGGCAGCACAUGUACCAAAAUUGGAACUAUACAGAGGAGAUUAGCAUGGCCUCUGGGCAAGGAUGACAUGCAAAUUCAUGAAGCGUUCCAUAUUUUU
ensembl:snRNA Gm23932 predicted gene, 23932